rnacentral:rRNA from 1 species
CAGUAGCCACGGUAAUACGAAGGGUGCAAGCGUUAAUCGGAAUUACUGGGCGUAAAGCGUGCGCAGGCGGUUUGUUAAGACAGGUGUGAAAUCCCCGGGCUUAACCUGGGAACUGCAUUUGUGACUGGCAAGCUAGAGUCUGACAGAGGGGGGUGGAAUUCCGCGUGUAGCAGUGAAAUGCGCAGAUAUGCGGAGGAACACCGAUGGCGAAGGCAGCCCCCUGGGCCAACACUGACGCUCAUGCACGAAAGCGUGGGGAGCAAACAGGAUUAGAUACCCCUGUAGUCCCUGUCUCUUAUAC